CUAGUCUCGGUCCGUCACUGCUCAUCAGUGAUCGGGUUUAGUAGCCCGGAAC
rfam:Pseudomonas sp. TW4, complete genome.